CAGCGAGCGAGGGUGGCGGGGAAGGGGGUGGGGGAAGGAGGAGGGAGGAGGGAAAAGAGCGCGGAGGGGGGGCGCCGGGCGUGUGUCACUCGCUCUCUCCCUCUGUGUAUAGAGGAUGUGCUGAAUGGUGCGCUUUGAGGCGGCGGCGGAGGAGCAGAAUCCGCCGCGACUGGCAGCCUCGGCUGCCCGGCUCGGCUUCUCUUCGCCUUCCGAGGCUCCUCAUCCACCGCGGGUUCCCGACCUCGCGUCCCGCCUGGGGCAUGGCCCGGCGCUGCGCCCCCGCGCGCUCUGCCUGCUGAGCGGCGCCGGAGGGAGGUGCGGAGGCCGGGAGGCCGGGGAGGCCGGCGGGGGAGAAGAGUCGAGCGCCUCCGGAGCAGAGAAAGGAGCCCGCGUCCCGCGCCCCGCGCCCCGCGCGCGGUUCCCAGUCCCUGCCGCGCUCGCCCGGGCCGCCCGGAGCCCAGAUGAGCCCAGAUGGCCGGGGCUCAACCCGGAGUGCACGCCUUGCAACUCAAGCCCGUGUGCGUGUCCGACAGCCUCAAGAAGGGCACCAAAUUCGUCAAGUGGGAUGAUGACUCAACUAUUGUUACUCCAAUUAUUUUGAGGACUGACCCUCAGGGAUUUUCUUUUACUGGACAGAUCAAAACAAGGUAAGAAAUGAGAUGUCUUUCUUACAUUUUCCAUCAUUUACUACUUUGAAAAGUAUUUGCGUAUCUUA
rnacentral:lncRNA from 1 species